GGGCAAAACUGUAAUUUAAGUACUGGUUUUGAAUUCCUUCGCUAGGGUUUAAGGAAACGCAACAGCGGAGUCUGGGUUUUUACAGUGGUGUUUGGACGGAGGGAUUCAGAGAGAAGGUGAGGGAGAGAAAAGCAUAUUAUUUCCUUCAUUCAAUAAUCGCUGAAAGUCUCGAGUCUUUCUCUCACAAAUGAACUACAGGUUUCAGAACCUCCUCGGAGCUCCGUACAGAGGAGGAAACGCCGUCGUCACCAACAACACUCUCCUAAUCUCACCCGUCGGUAACCGGAUCUCAGUCACUGACCUCAUCAAAUCCCGAACCCUAACCCUACCAUGCCACGCCUCCUCCAACAUCGCUCGAAUCGCCGCCUCCCCCGACGGCCUCUUCCUCCUCGCUGUCGACGAUAAGUCUCGCUGUCUCUUCAUCAACCUUCACCGUCGUGUCGUCCUCCACCGAAUCUCCUUCAAGAAGCCAGUUGGCGCCAUCAAGUUCAGCCCUGACGGCACACUCAUCGCCGUCGGGGUCGGUAAAUUGCUCCAAAUUUGGCGGUCACCGGGGUUCAAGAAGGAGUUCUUUCCGUUCGAAUUGAUUCGGACUUUUGCGGAUUGCGAUGAUAAGGUCACGGUGUUAAAUUGGAGUCCCGACUCGAAUUACAUACUGGCUGGGUCAAAGGACUUGACGGCGAGGUUGUUUUGUGUGAAGAAAUUGAGUGGCUUUAACAAGCCUUAUAUGUUUUUAGGACAUAGAGAUGUAAUUGUGGGUGUUUUCUUUGGUGUUGAUAAGAAAACAAACAGGGUUUCUAGGGUUUAUACAUUAUCACGUGAUGGCUCGAUUUUUAGCUGGAGUUAUAGUGGCAUUGAUGGUAAAUUUGAUAACAAUGCAGAACCACCUUCUCCGGGCACGCCGGAGCAAUUGCCAAAUCAGAGUGGGGAGAAUGAAGGUAAUGGUAAUGUGAAAAAAAGGAAGCAUUUUGAUGGUGGUGAUGGUAAUUUGGACGAAGAAAGCGAAAUUUUGUUGCAUAAAGGGAAAUGGGAGUUGUUGAGGAAGGACUAUUUUAUGCAGUCGCCAGCAAAGUUGACAGCUUGUGAUUAUCACCAGGGUCUUGAUCUCGUGGUUGUGGGGUUCUCAAAUGGUGUUUUUGGGCUGUACCAGAUGCCUGAUUUCAUUUGCAUUCACUUAUUGUCAAUAUCAAGGGAGAAGAUUACAACUGCCGUGUUUAAUGAUCUAGGGAACUGGUUGACAUUCGGGUGUGCCAAACUUGGGCAGUUGCUUGUUUGGGAGUGGAAAUCGGAAAGUUACAUACUGAAACAGCAGGGACAUUACUUUGAUGUGAAUUGUCUUGCAUAUUCGCCAGAUUCACAACUUUUGGCUACUGGAGCGGAUGACAACAAAAUCAAGGUGUGGACUGUUUCAUCAGGGUUCUGCUUUGUGACAUUCUCCGAGCACACUAAUGCCGUAACUGCACUCCAUUUUAUGGCCAACAACCAUUGUCUCUUAAGUGCAUCUCUAGAUGGGACUGUUCGUGCAUGGGAUCUAUUCCGUUAUCGGAAUUUUAGGACCUUUACCACUCCUUCCUCUAAGCAAUUUGUUUCUUUAGCAUCAGAUCAGAGUGGUGAAGUGAUUUGUGCUGGAACUCUUGAUUCAUUCGAGAUUUUUGUUUGGUCGAUGAAGACAGGCCGGUUGUUGGAUGUUCUUAGUGGUCACGAGGGUCCUGUUCAUGGGUUAAUGUUUUCUCCUACAAAUGCAACUUUAGCUUCAUCUUCAUGGGACAGAACUGUUCGCUUGUGGGAUGUUUUUGAAGGAAAAGGUGCGGUUGAAACAUUUUCCCACACACAUGAUGUUCUAACAGUUGUUUAUCGUCCAGAUGGAAAGCAAUUGGCUUGUAGCACGUUAGAUGGGCAAAUUCAUUUCUGGGAUCCGAUUGAUGGCUUGUUGAUGUACACUAUUGAGGGUCGUAGAGAUAUUUCUGGAGGGCGCCUCAUGACUGAUCGUAGAACUGCUGCUAACUCUAGUUCUGGGAAGUGCUUCACAACCUUAUGUUAUUCUGCUGAUGGGAGUUACAUAUUAGCUGGGGGAAGUAGUAAAUACAUUUGCAUGUAUGAUAUUGCUGAUCAGGUAUUGCUGCGCAGAUUUCAAAUAACCCACAAUCUGUCCUUAGAUGGAGUGCUUGACUUCCUGAACUCAAAGAAUAUGACAGAAUCUGGUCCACUGAAUUUAAUUGAUGAUGAUAAUAGUGAUGCAGAGGAUGGUGUUGAUAAACAAACGAGAGGAAAUCUGGCUUAUGAUUUGCCAGGAUCCAUGCCUAACCGUGGAAGGCCUAUUAUUCGAACAAAAUGCCUGAGAAUUGCUCCAACUGGCCGGAGUUGGGCAGCUGCAACAACAGAAGGAGUUCUAGUUUAUUCUGUUGACGAAUCCUUUAUCUUUGACCCCACUGAUCUUGACCUUGAUGUUACACCAGAGGCAGUUGAUGUAGCACUAAGUGAAGAUCAACCAAACAGAGCUUUAGUUCUCAGUCUACGUUUAAAUGAAGAUGCACUAAUUAAAAAGUGCAUUCUUGCUAUCAAUCCAGUAGAUAUACCGGCUGUUGCUUCAUCAGUCCCUUUCAGAUAUUUGCAGAGAUUAAUUGAGGCAUUUGCAAAUCUUCUGGAGAACUGUCCCCAUUUGGAGUUAGUUCUUCGAUGGAGUCAGGAGCUGUGCAAGGCUCAUGGUCACUCCAUUCAACAGAAUUCCAGAAAUUUGCUUCCUGCUCUAAAAUCCUUGCAGAAGGCAAUUACUAGAUUACAUCAGGAUUUGGCAGAUACCUGCUCUUCAAAUGAAUAUUUGCUUCGAUAUUUAUGCUCUACAAGCACCAAGAAAUGAUCUGUCCACUGUUUCAAUUGGUUGGCACCGUGGUAAGAUCCACUGAAGGAAGGUAUGAUAAUUGAUUGUGCACGACUGGUGGAUGAGAGAGCAAUUUUUCACUGAAAUAACAACAAAGUCCUGCUUGUGUUAUAACUUCAAAUACGGUUGGUGGGCAUAUCACAGCAGAGAGACCUUGUAAUGCUCACAUUGUCACAGCAUGCGCCUAAAGUGGUUCAAUAAAGAUGCCAAUGGACAUUAAAUUUCUUUGAAGUCCUUCAGUGCCGUAUGUUUUGAAGAUGAAUCUCCCUCAUUCUAAUGCUGAAGAAUGGUAUUUCUCUAUUAUCUGUCGUCCCUUUUUAAGCUAACUCCAUGUAUUGUAGCUUUACUUCGGGAUGUGUUUCUGAAGAUGGACAAUCAAUGGUACCCCAUUCACAAGGCAAAUUUUGUUUCUAAGUGGAACAUUGUAUACCAGUUCUUAGUUCCUGAAUAUCUAAGUGGAACAUUGUACCAGUGGGCUUUAGUUAUUUUAUGAUAGUUUAUAAAAAUAUCAAAAUGAUUGAUGUAAGAGUUUUUGACUUCUAAUAGCAAUUUUGAUUAGCAUGUGUUUGAAUCUUUGUGGGACAAUGCAUUAUUUUUCAAAUCACCCCUUUAGCUUCAAAUUUUAAGGAGUGAGAGCAGUUGAUGAUAUGGCUUGUUGGGGUGCAGAAAGGUUUCCAAGUAAGACUGGCUUGGAGGUUGUGAAUACUUAUUUAUUUAAUUUGGGUCAUUUGCUCAUGUAUUCUUUUUUAUA